CUAUUCUAGUAACAUAAUUUAGACAUGGCUCCCCUGGGUGGGGUAAAGGGUAAGAAAUAGACUGAUUAUUUCCCAUAUUUCUGGCUCAGGGUAGAGACACUACCUACUUACCAAUAGUGUGUCUCUACUUAACAAGCAAAAUAAACACAAAUCAGACACAGGGUGACCAAAGGAACGAGAAGUUUGGGUUAUUCUAGAUCUAUGAACCGUGUUCCCUAGAACACUUAUAGUAUUAAUAAACCGGAGACUCCUUUAUAGUCUCAAAACCUGUAUCUACCUGAGAUACCCUGUAUCUAUCUUAGAUACUAACCUGGGUUACCAAAACCCUAUAUAUAUUUAGACCAAAUGUCUAAUAAACCGGAG